CACUGUACCAAAUUUUAUCUGUGUAGAGCGAAGUGAGUUGCCACAAUCCUUUUGUAAAGACAAAGUUUUGAGGAUCAAUUUUCAGCCUGUCUCACUCUAGCUGUGAGGUCACCCACUCUAGCUGCCAACAUUCCGUGCAAUACACACUAAUGUUAAAACCUGAACAGGUCUGAAAAUCUUUGGACUUUUUGAACUGUCACUGUGAGAAAAGUAUGAAUGCCAUGAAGAUGGUGAAUGAAUGAGUGAAUGUCUGAAGAUGUGUGAAUAUUUUAAAGUUUGAAUGAAGUUUCUAGGUGAAAGUAUGAAUGAAUGAGAAGAGGUUGAAGUUGACUACGUCUGAAAGCCUUUUCCCAUUGAAUCCCAUUAUAACGAAGUUUUAAACAAAUCUUAAUAUUUUGAAAAGUACAAAUGGGAUUAAAAAUGUUGAAGAUGUGGAAUAAUGCUGACGAAUUUGUGAAUAUUUUGGUUUUUGAAUGAAGUUUCUACUUGGAAGUAUAGUGGAGUUGAAGGCUUUUGAAGUUGUGUGAAGAAAAUGUGAGAAAAGGGCCAAUUUGAACAUUCCGUAAUGCAUUUCCAAUGGGAGAAAUCGGUCGGAAAACCUGGAAUAUCUCGGAAAGUAUGAAUGUUAGGAAAUUUUUGAAUACAAGCCGGAAUCUCCUGAAUGAGACGAAUCUUUUGAAGUUUGAAUGGUUUGAAUACGUUGAAGUAUGUGGAAGGAGAAGCGGUCCAAAAAACGGUGGAAGAAUAAUAAUAAUAAAGAUAUGAAUAACAUAUAGUGGGAAUGCUUCGCAAUCCCACUCAAUAAAGAAACGGGAGAAUAACAAUAAGUGGAAAUGCCUAUCAGCAUUUCCACUUAACUAGAAAAAUUGCAUUUCCUUGCAGAAAAUGCGUGGAAAUGCUGAGUGCUGAAAGCUGAAAAAGCAAUGCUAAACUGCUAAUAAAACAUGGAGAAAUGUAUAAAUGUUAAAGCUGUUGAAGGGGUGUGAAAGAAAUGUAAGUUGGAUAAUUGAUUAAUUGGUUGAAGGACAAAUAGUAUGAAUAUGCUCUAUAAAAAGAAAUUUUAUUCAUGCUGAAAGAGGCAAGAAAAAUGUCUAAAAUUGCACAAAGUUUGAAUGAAGAAGGAAAUUGCCUUAAAAGGCAGGAAGGUGGGAAGUGGCAUAAGUUUAAUUUUUUAAGUAUUAGAAAGGUUUGAAUCAGUUCAAAUUAGUUUGAAAAAUUAAAUGAUAAAUCAUCACUGAGUGACUUUAAAAUGUGAAAAAUCUAAAUGUAUAUAAAUCCUAAAUACACCCCAUAAUGUCCUCAAUGAGCUCAAAUUUUAAAGCCCUGAAUGGUUUCUGUAGGUCAAAGGUCAUGUGAGGAGAUAGGGGCUGAAGUUUUUUCAAGCGCUCUAGUAAAGGGUUUUAAGUGUCAUCCCCAGUGCUAUGUGUGCUGAGCCUGGCUUCAUGUGUCUCAUAUGGCCAUUAGAAGCAGCUUUCCAGUCAGCUGUGUGUCUCCAGGUGCACUAAUUGGUUGCCAUGGGGACCUUGGAUGCAUAACUAUAGCAGGAGAAAGAAGGCUUGAAGCUAAGGAAACAGGACUCCAAGUAGGCCCUGACGCUCAUCCUCUGUAUAUAUUCAUAAGGAGCUUGUGAGAACACAAGACUCUGCUGAACACAUUAAUACAAUUUAUUAUCACAAUCCUCAAAACACCCCAUAAUAUCUUCAAUGAGCUGAAUUUUUCAAGCCCAGAAUGGUUUCUGUAGCUCAAAGUUUGUGGGUGGAGAUAGGUGGUGAAGCAGACACAUAUUACCUGUGUGUACAAGCAGGUGAACUGCAAGGUAGACCUGACAAUGCAACAAGUACAAGAAUGUGUGUGUGUGUGUGUGUGUGUCUCAUUAAUGACUGCAUCCCUAACAGCUGUGAGAUCAAAGGCAAAUCACUGACCUACUGUUUGAAUGAGAAGCAGCUGAACUGCUGAGGAUUUAUAGCCUGUGAACUUCUUCACAUAGCGUGAUUUCCUUAAGUCCCAGAAUGAAAAUAAGAACAUCGUACGAAUCCUCCGUCCUUCAUGAACACAAUGAUGUGUUUUUCAUUUCUGUACUUCGAAAAAUGAGGCCACAACAGCGAGUUAAAAAAGUCUGAGCCUGAGUGAUGAUCCGGAUUUUCUUGGAGAAAAAUAACAUUAGGGCCAAUGGGGAGAGAUUUGCGCCUAUUUGGACAGUUGGUCACCUGCUGGCCAAGGGGUACGAGUUAAUGAUUUGAAACCUCAUUAGUGAGAAGCAGGACACAUAUACCUCCAUUUUGAUGUAUUUUUUGUGUCUGUGGAGUGAGAUUUGUGGGCGUGGGAGCGAUAUAUUCGAGCGAGGUUCUGUCGAUCAGAGACGAGGUCUGCACUCUAGCUGAUGACAUCAUCACUCUAAACUCUCCAAUACACACCCGUUAUAAAGCUUGAAAUUUGCUGAAAACCACAAGUUGCUUAAAGCUAAAUUGUGGAAAAACUGUAAAAGAUAUCAAAAAACUGAGUACAACUAUAAUAGUCGACAAGUGAAUGAACAUUUUAAAGCAAAAAUGAGGUCUCUAGGUGAAAGUAUGCUAGAGUUAUAAGGUCUAGAAGGUGGAAGAAAAAAAGGAAGAAGUGGAAGAUUUCCCCAUUGACUUCAAUGUUAAAAUUUUUGCACAAAAAGUUAAAAAAAUCAAAAAGUAUAAAGGGUAGAAAAGUGAAAAGUAAUAGCACACAUGUCCUGAAGGAGUAGAAUAGUUUAAAGUUUGAAUGGUUGAAAUCGGACAAAGAUUGAAGGAGGAGAAGCGCGACAAAAAACGGCGGAAGAAUAAAAAUAAUAAUAAGAUUAAAGAAACGGGAGAAUAACAAUAAGUGGAAAUGCUUAAUCAGCAUUUCCACUUAACUAGAAAAAUUGCAUUUCCUUGCAGAAAAUGCGUGGAAAUGCUGAGUGCUGAAAGCUGAAAAAGCAAUGCUAAACUGCUAAUAAAACAUGGAGAAAUGUAUAAAUGUUAAAGCUGUUGAAGGGGUGUGAAAGAAAUGUAAGUUGGAUAAUUGAUUAAUUGGUUGAAGGACAAAUAGUAUGAAUAUGCUCUAUAAAAAGAAAUUUUAUUCAUGCUGAAAGAGGCUAGAAAAAUGUCUAAAAUUGCACAAAGUUUGAAUGAAGAAGGAAAUUGCCUUAAAAGGCAGGAAGGUGGGAAGUGGCAUAAGUUUAAUUUUUUAAGUAUUAGAAAGGUUUGAAUCAUUUCAAAUUAGUUUGAAAAAUUAAAUGAUGAAUCAUCACUGAGUGACUUUAAAAUGUGAAAAAUCUAAAUGUAUAAAAAUCCUAAAUACACCCCAUAAUGUCCUCAAUGAGCUCAAAUUUUAAAGCCCUGAAUGGUUUCUGUAGGUCAAAGGUCAUGUGAGGAGAUAGGGGCUGAAGUUUUUUCAAGCGCUCUAGUAAAGGGUUUUAAGUGUCAUCCCCAGUGCUAUGUGUGCUGAGCCUGGCUUCAUGUGUCUCAUAUGGCCAUUAAAAGAAGCUUUCUAGUCAGCUGUGUCUCCAGGUGCACAAAUUGGUUGCCAUGGGGACCUUGGAUGCAUAACUAUAGCAGGAGAAAGAAGGCUUGAAGCUAAGGAAACAGGACUCCAAGUAGGCCCUGACGCUCAUCCUCUGUAUAUAUUCAUGAUAAGGAGCUUGUGAGAACCACAAAAACUGCUGAACACAUUAAUACAAUUUAUUAUCAAAAUCCUCAAAACACCCCAAAAUGUCCUCAAUGAGCUGAAUUUUUCAAGCCCAGAAUGGUUUCUGUAGCUCAAAGUUUGUGGGUGGAGAUAGGUGGUGAAGCAGACACAUAUUAUCUGUGUGUACAAGCAGGUGAACUGCAAGGUAGACCUGACAAUGCAACAAGUACAAGAAUGUGUGUGUGUGUGUGUGUGUGUGUGUCUCAUUAAUGACUGCAUCCCUAACAGCUGUGAGAUCAAAGGCAAAUCACUGACCUACUGUUUGAAUGACAAGCAGCUGAACAGCAGAGGAUUUGAAGCCUGUGAACUUCUUCACAUAGCGUGAUUUCCUUAAGUCCCAGAAUGAAAAUAAGAACAUCGUACGAAUCCUCCGUCCUUCAUGAACACAAUGAUGUGUUUUUCAUGUCUGUACUCCGAAAAAUGUGGCCACAACAGCGAGUUAAAAAAGUCUGAGCCUGAGUGACGAUAAGGAUUUUCUUGGAGAAGAAAUACAUUAGGGCCAAUGGGGAGAUAUUUGCGCCUAUCUGGACAGUUGGUCACCUGCUGGCCAAGGGGUACGAUUUAAUGAUUUGAAACCUCUUUUGUGAGAAGCAGGACACAUAUACCUCCAUUUUGAUGUAUUAUUUAUGGCUGUGGAGUGAGAUUUGUGGGCGUGGGAGCGAUAUAUUCGAGCGAGGUUCUGUCGAUCAGAGACGAGGUCUGCACUCUAGCUGAUGACAUCAUCACUCUAAACUCUCCAAUACACACCCAUUAUAAAGCUUAAAAUUUGCUGAAAAACACAAGUUGCUUAAAGCUAAAUUGUGGAAAAACUGUAAGAGAUAUCAAAAAACUGAGUACAACUUUAAUAGUCGACAAGUGAAUGAACAUUUUAAAGCAAAAAUGAGGUUUCUAGGUGAAAGUAUGCUGAAGUUAUAAGGUCUAGAAGGUGGAAGAAUAAAAGGAAGGAGUGGAAGAUUUCCCCAUUGACUUUAAUGUUAAAAUUUUUGCACAAAAAGUUAAAAAAAUCAAAAAGUAUAAAAGGUAGAAGAGUGAAAAGUAAUAGCCAUAAUGUCCUGAAGGAAUGGAAUAGUUUAAAGUUUGAACGGUUGAAAUCGGACAAAGUUUGAAGGAGGAGAAGCGGUCCAAAAAAGGGACGGAAGAAUAAUAAUAAUAAAGAAAAAUGGCCGACAGGAAUAACAAUAAGUGGAAAUGCUUAAUCAGCAUUUCCACUUAACUAGAAAAAUUGCAUUUCCUUGCAGAAAAUGCGUGGAAAUGCUGAGUGCUGAAAGCUGAAAAAGCAAUGCUAAACUGCUAAUAAAACAUGGAGAAAGGUAUAAAUGUUAAAGCUGUUGAAGGGGUGAAAAAGAAAUAUAAGUUGGAUAAUUGAUUAAUUGGUUGAAGGACAAAUAGUAUGAAUAUGCUCUAUAAAAGGAAAUUUUAUUCAUGCUGAAAGAGGCUAGAAAAAUGUCGAAAAUUGCACAAAGUUUGAAUGAAGAAGGAAAUUGCCUUAAAAGGCAGGAAGGUGAGAAGUGGCAUAAGUUUAAAUUGUAGUACUAGAAGUAGUAUGAUAAGAAGUCAAGUCGUGAUACUAGUAGUCAUGUCAGCAGUAGAAGUAGAUUGAGAAUAAAAGAAGUAUAAGUCAAAGUAGUAAAGAAAGUAGAAAUAGGAGCAAUAGCAGUUGAAGUAGAGGGGAAAGUUCUAGUUUAAUUGACAUUAGCAGUAGUUGUCGUACUUGAGGUAGGAUUUUGUUUGAAUGAUGGAGUAAUGCAUAAAUAUUAAAACUAAUUUAAAACAGGGAAAUUUUAAAUUUUUAAAAGUCCUCAAGUAUCAGAAAGUUUUGAAGUAUUAGAAAGGUUUGAAUCAGUUUGAAUGAGUUUAAAUUAGUUUGAAAAAUUAAAUGAUAAAUCAUCACUGACUGACUUUUAAAAUGUGAAAAAUUUAAAUGAAUAACAAUCCUAAAUACACCCAAUAAUGUCCUCAAUGAGCUUAAAUUUCAAAGCCCUGAAUGGUUUCUGUAGGUCAAAGGUCAUGUGAGGAGAUAGGGGCUGAAGUUUUUUCCAACGCUUUAGGAAAGGGUUUUAAGUGUCAUCCCAAUUGCUAUGUGUACUGAGCCUGGCUUCAUGUGUCUCAUAUGGCCACUAGAAGCAGCUUUCCAGUCAGCUGUGUGUCUCCAGGUGCACAAAUUGGUUGCCAUGGGGACCUUGGAUGCAUAACUAUAGCAGGAGAAAGAAGGCUUGAAGCUAAAGAAACAGGACUCCAAGUAGGCCCUGACGCUCACCCUCUGUAUAUAUUCAUAAGGAGCUUGUGAGAACACAAGACUCUGCUGAACACAUUAAUACAAUUUAUUAUCACAAUCCUCAAAACACCCCAUAAUAUCUUCAAUGAGCUGAAUUUUUGAAGCCCAGAAUGGUUUCUGUAGCUCAAAGUUUGUGGGUGGAGAUAGGUGGUGAAGCAGACACAUAUUAACUGUGUGUACAAGCAGCUGAACUGCAAGGUAGACCUCACAAAGCAACAAGUACAAGAAUGUGUGUGCGUGUGUGUGUGUGUGUGUUCUCGUUAAUGACUGCAUCCUAAACAGCUGUGAGAUCAAAGGCAAAUCACUGACCUACUGUUUGAAUGAGAAGCUGCUGAACUGCAGUGAAUUUAGCCUGUGAACUUCUUCACAUAGCGUGAUUUCCUUAAGUCCCAGAAUGAAAAUAAGAACAUCGUACGAAUCCUCCGCCCUUCAUGAACACAAUGAUGUGUUUUUCAUGUCUGUACUCCGAAAAAUGUGGCCACAACAGCGAGUUAAAAAAGUCUGAGCCUGAGUGACGAUCAGGAUUUUCUUGGAGAAAAAUACAUUAGAGCCAAUGGGGAGAGAUUUCCGCCUAUUUGGACAGUUGGUCACCUGCUGGCCAAGGGGUAAGAUUUAAUGAUUUGAAACCUCUUUUGUGAGAAGCAGGACACAUAUACCUCCAUUUUGAUGUAUUUUUUAUGGCUGUGGAGUGAGAUUUGUGGGCGUGGGAGCGAUAUAUUCGAGCGAGGUUCUGUCGAUCAGAGAGGAGGUCUGCACUCUAGCUUUUCAAAUCAUCACUCUAGCCUCUCCAAUACACCCCUAUUAUAAAGCCUGAAAUUUGCUGAAAACCACGAGUUGCAUAAAGCUAAAUUGUGGAAAAACUGUAAAAGAUAGCACAAAAAGGUUAAUACAACAUCAAUAGUCGACAAGACAAUGAACAUUUUAAAGCAAAAAUGAGGUCUCUAGGUGAAAGUAUGCUGAAGUUAUAAGGCUUAGAAGGUGGACGAAUAACAGGAAGAAUUGGAAGAUUUCCCCAUUCAUUUCUAUGGGAAAAAAGUUUGGCACAAAAAGUGAAAAAUAAUAAAAAGUACAAAGGAUAGAAAGGAAAAAAAUACAAGCACACAUGUCCUGAUGGAGUGGAAUAGUUUAAAGUUUGAACGGUUGAAAUCGGACAAAGUUUGAAGGAGGAGAAGCGGUCCAAAGAAACGUAUGGGGAGAGUGUUAAGUAUAAUACUAGAAAAAUUGCAUUUCCUUGCAGAAAAUGCGUGGAAAUGCUGAGUGCUGAAAGCUGAAAAAGCAAUGCUAAACUGCUAAUAAAACAUGGAGAAAGGUAUAAAUGUUAAAGCUGUUGAAGGGGUGAACAGAAAUAUAAGUUGGAUAAUUGAUUAAUUGGUUGAAGGACAAAUAGUAUGAAUAUGCUCUAUAAAAGGAAAUUUUAUUCAUGCUGAAAGAGGCUAGAAAAAUGUCUAAAAUUGCACAAAGUUUGAAUGAAGAAGGAAAUUGCCUUAAAAGGCAGGAAGGUGAGAAGUGGCAUAAGUUUAAUUUUUUAAGUAUUAGAAAGGUUUGAAUCAGUUUGAAUCAGUUCAAAUUAGUUUGAAAAAUUAAAUGAUAAAUCAUCACUGAGUGACUUUAAAAUGUGAAAAAUCUAAAUGUAUAUAAAUCCUAAAUACACCCCCUAAUGUCCUCAAUGAGCUCAAAUUUUAAAGCCCUGAAUGGUUUCUGUAGGUCAAAGGUCAUGUGAGGAGAUAGGGGCUGAAGUUUUUUCAAGCGCUCUAGUAAAGGGUUUUAAGUGUCAUCCCCAGUGCUAUGUGUGCUGAGCCUAGCUUCAUGUGUCUCAUAUGGCCAUUAGAAGCAGCUUUCCAGUCAGCUGUGUGUCUCCAGGUGCACUAAUUGGUUGCCAUGGGGACCUUGGAUGCAUAACUAUAGCAGGAGAAAGAAGGCUUGAAGCUAAGGAAACAGGACUCCAAGUAGGCCCUGACACUCAUCCUCUGUAUCUAUUCCUGAUAAGGAGCUUGUGAGAACACAAGACUCUGCUAAACACAUUAAUACAAUUUAUUAUCACAAUCCUCAAAACACCCCAUAAUAUCUUCAAUGAGCUGAAUUUUAGAAGCCCAGAAUGGUUUCUGUAGCUCAAAGUUUGUGGGUGGAGAUAGGUGGCGAAGCAGACACAUAUUAACUGUGUGUACAAGCAGCUGAACUGCAAGGUAGACCUCAUAAAGCAACAAGUACAAGAAUGUGUGUGUGUGUGUGUGUGUGUGUGUCGUUAAUGACUGCAUCCUAAACAGCUGUGAGAUCAAAGGCAAAUCACUGACCUACUGUUUGAAUGAGAAGCAGCUGAACUGCAGAGGAUUUAGAGGCUCUAAACUUCUUCACAUAGCGUGAUUUCCUUAAGUCACAGAAUGAAAAUAAGAACAUCGUACGAAUCCUCCGCCCUUCAUGAACACAAUGAUGUCUUUUUCAUGUCUGUACUUCGAAAAAUGAGGCCACAACAGCGAGUUAAAAAAGUCUGAGCCUGAGCGAUGAUCCGGAUUUUCUUGGAGAAAAAUAACAUUAUGGUCAAUGGGAGAGAUUUCCGCCUUUUUUGGACAGUUGGUCACCUGCUGGCCAAGGGGUAGGAUUUAAUGAUUUGAAACCUCUUUUGUGAGAAGCAGGACACAUAUACCUCCAUUUUGAUGUAUUAUUUGUGUCAGUGGAGUGAGAUUUGUGGGCGUGGGAGCGAUAUAUUCGAGCGAGGUUCUGUCGAUCAGAGACGAGGUCUGCACUCUAGCUGAUGACAUCAUCACUCUAAACUCUCCAAUACACACCCAUUAUAAAGCUUGAAAUUUGCUGAAAACCACAAGUUGCUUAAAGCUAAAUUGUGGAAAAACUGUAAGAGAUAUCAAAAAACUGAGUACAACUGUAAUAGUCGACAAGUGAAUGAACAUUUUAAAGCAAAAAUGAGGUCUCUAGGUGAAAGUAUGCUGAAGUUAUAAGGUCUAGAAGGUGGAAGAAUAAAAGGAAGAAGUGGAAGAUUUCCCCAUUGACUUCAAUGUUAAAAUUUUUGCACAAAAAGUUAAAAAAAACAAAAAGUAUAAAGGGUAGAAAAGUGAAAAGUAAUAGCAAACGUGUCCUGAAGGAGUGGAAUAGUUUAAAGUUUGAACGGUUGAAAUCGCACAAACUGGGAAGGAGUUGAAAGCGGACGAAAAACGGCGGAAAAAAUAAUAAUAAUAAUAAUAAUAAUAAUAAAGAAACGGGAGAAUAACAAUAAGUGGAAAUGCCUAUCAGCAUUUCCACUUAACUAGAAAAAUUGCAUUUCCUUGCAGAAAAUGCGUGGAAAUGCUGAGUGCUGAAAGCUGAAAAAGCAAUGCUAAACUGCUAAUAAAACAUGGAGAAAGGUAUAAAUGUUAAAGCUGUUGAAGGGGUGAGAAAGAAAUGUAAGUUGGAUAAUUGAUUAAUUGGUUGAAGGACAAAUAGUAUGAAUAUGCUCUAUAAAAGGAAAUUUUAUUCAUGCUGAAAGAGGCUAGAAAAAUGUCUAAAAUUGCACAAAGUUUGAAUGAAGAAGGAAAUUGCCUUAAAAGGCAGGAAGGUGGGAAGUGGCAUAAGUUUAAUUUUUUAAGUAUUAGAAAGGUUUGAAUCAGUUUCAAUCAGUUCAAAUUAAUUUGAAAAAUUAAAUGAUAAAUCAUCACUGAGUGACUUUAAAAUGUGAAAAAUCUAAAUGUAUAUAAAUCCUAAAUACACACCAUAAUGUCCUCAAUGAGCUCAAAUUUUAAAGCCCUGAAUGGUUUCUGUAGGUCAAAGGUCAUGUGAGGAGAUAGGGGCUGAAGUUUUUUCAAGCGCUCUAGUAAAGGGUUUUAAGUGUCAUCCCCAGUGCUAUGUGUGCUGAGCCUGGCUUCAUGUGUCUCAUAUGGCCAUUAGAAGCAGCUUUCCAGUCAGCUGUGUGUCUCCAGGUGCACUAAUUGGUUGCCAUGGGGACCUUGGAUGCAUAACUAUAGCAGGAGAAAGAAGGCUUGAAGCUAAGGAAACAGGACUCCAAGUAGGCCCUGACGCUCAUCCUCUGUAUCUAUUCCUGAUAAGGAGCUUGUGAGAACACAAGACUCUGCUAAACACAUUAAUACAAUUUAUUAUCACAAUCCUCAAAACACCCCAUAAUAUCUUCAAUGAGCUGAAUUUUAGAAGCCCAGAAUGGUUUCUGUAGCUCAAAGUUUGUGGGUGGAGAUAGGUGGCGAAGCAGACACAUAUUAACUGUGUGUACAAGCAGCUGAACUGCAAGGUAGACCUCAUAAAGCAACAAGUACAAGAAUGUGUGUGUGUGUGUGUGUGUGUGUCUCGUUAAUGAUUGCUUCCUAAACAGCUGUGAGAUCAAAGGCAAAUCACUGACCUACUGUUUGAAUGAGAAGCAGCUGAACUGCAGAGGAUUUAGAGGCUCUAAACUUCUUCACAUAGCGUGAUUUCCUUAAGUCCCAGAAUGAAAAUAAGAACAUCGUACGAAUCCCCCGUCCUUCAUGAACACAAUGAUGUGUUUUUCAUGUCUGUACUUCGAAAAAUGAGGCCACAACAGCGAGUUAAAAAAGUCUGAGCCUGAGCGAUGAUCCGGAUUUUCCUGGAGAAAAAUAACAUUAUGGUCAAUGGGAGAGAUUUCCGCCUUUUUUGGACAGUUGGUCACCUGCUGGCCAAGGGGUACGAUUUAAUGAUUUGAAACCUCUUUUGUGAGAAGCAGGACACAUAUACCUCCAUUUUGAUGUAUUAUUUGUGUCAGUGGAGUGAGAUUUGUGGGCGUGGGAGCGAUAUAUUCGAGCGAGGUUCUGUCGAUCAGAGACGAGGUCUGCACUCUAGCUGAUGACAUCAUCACUCUAAACUCUCCAAUACACACCCAUUAUAAAGCUUGAAAUUUGCUGAAAACCACAAGUUGCUUAAAGCUAAAUUGUGGAAAAACUGUAAGAGAUAUCAAAAAACUGAUUACAACUAUAAUAGUCGACAAGUGAAUGAACAUUUUAAAGCAAAAAUGAGGUCUCUAGGUGAAAGUAUGCUGAAGUUAUAAGGUCUAGAAGGUGGAAGAAUAAAAGGAAGAAUUGGAAGAUUUCCCCAUUGACUUCAAUGUUAAAAUUUUUGCACAAAAAGUUAAAAAAAACAAAAAGUAUAAAUGUUAGAAAAGUGAAAAGUAAUAGCAAACGUGUCCUGAAGGAGUGGAAUAGUUUAAAGUUUGAACGGUUGAAAUCGGACAAACUGGGAAGGAGUUGAAAGCGGACGAAAAACGGCGGAAGAAUAAUAAUAAUAAAGAAACGGGAGAAUAACAAUAAGUGGAAAUGCUUAAUCAGCAUUUCCACUUAACUAGAAAAAUUGCAUUUCCUUGCAGAAAAUGCGUGGAAAUGCUGAGUGCUGAAAGCUGAAAAAGCAAUGCUAAACUUCUAAUAAAACAUGGAGAAAGGUAUAAAUGUUAAAGCUGUUGAAGGGGUGAAAAAGAAAUAUAAGUUGGAUAAUGGUCUAAUUGGUUGAAGGACAAAUAGUAUGAAUAUGCUCUAUAAACGGAAAUUUUAUUCAUGCUGAAAGAGGCUAGAAAAAUGUCUAAAAUUGCACAAAGUUUGAAUGAAGAAGGAAACUGCCUUAAAAGGCAGGAAGGUGAGAAGUGGCAUAAGUUUAAGUUGUAGUACUAGAAGUAGUAUAAGAGGUCAAGUCGUGAUACUAGUAGUCAUGUCAGCAGUAGAAGUAGUUUGAGAAUAAAAGAAGUAUAAGUCACAGUAGUAGAGAAAGUAGAAAUAGUAGCAAUAGCAGCAGUAGAGAAAGUAGAAAUAGGAGCAAUAGCAGUUGAAGUAGAGGGGAAAGUUCUAGUUCAAUUGACAUUAGCAGUAGUUGUAUUACUUGAGGUAGGAUUUUGUUUGAAGGAUGGAGUAAUGCAUAAAUAUUAAAACUAAUUUAAAACAGGGAAAAUUUAAAUAAUUAAAAAUCCUCAAGUAUCAGAAAGUUUUAAAGUAUUAGAAAGGUUUGAAUCAGUUUGAAUGAGUUUAAAUUAGUUUGAAAAAUUAAAUGAUAAAUCAUCACUGAGUGACUUUAAAAUGUGAAAAAUUUAAAUGAAUAUAAAUCCUGAAUACACCCCAUAAUGUCCUCAAUGAGCUUAAAUUUUAAAGCCCUGAAUGGUUUCUGUAGGUCAAAGGUCAUGUGAGGAGAUAGGGGCUGAAGUUUUUUCAAGCGCUCUAGGAAAGGGUUUUAAGUGUCAUCCCCAGUGCUAUGUGUACUGAGCCUGGCUUCAUGUGUCUCAUAUGGCCACUAGAAGCAGCUUUCCAGUCAGCUGUGUGUCUCCAGGUGCACAAAUUGGUUGCCAUGGGGACCUUGGAUGCAUAACUAUAGCAGGAGAAAGAAGGCUUGAAGCUAAAGAAACAGGACUCCAAGAAGGCCCUGACGCUCACCCUCUGUAUAUAUUCAUAAGGAGCUUGUGAGAACACAAGACUCUGCUGAACACAUUAAUACAAUUUAUCACAAUCCUCAAAACACCCCAUAAUAUCUUCAAUGAGCUGAAUUUUUGAAGGCCAGAAUGGUUUCUGUAGCUCAAAGUUUGUGGGUGGAGAUAGGUGGUGAAACAGACACAUAUUAACUGUGUGUACAAGCAGCUGAACUGCAAGGUGGACCUCAAAAAGCAACAAGUACAAAAAUGUGUGUGCGUGUGUGUGUGUGUGUGUGUCUCGUUAAUGACUGCAUCCUAAACAGCUGUGAGAUCAAAGGCAAAUCACUAACCUACUGUUUGACUGAGAGGUGCUGAACUGCAGUGAAUUUCAGCCUGUGAACUUCUUCACAUAGCGUGAUUUCCUUAAGUCCCAGAAUGAAAAUAAGAACAUCGUACGAAUCCUCCGUCCUUCAUGAACACAAUGAAGUAUUUUUCAUGUCUGUACUCCGACAAAUGUGGCCACAACAGCGAGUUAAAAAAGUCUGAGCCUGAGUGACGAUAAGGAUUUUCUUGGAGAAGAAAUACAUUAGGGCCAAUGGGGAGAUAUUUGCGCCUAUCUGGACAGUUGGUCACCUGCUGGCCAAGGGGUAGGAUUUAAUGAUUUGAAACCUCUUUUGUGAGAAGCAGGACACAUAUACCUCCAUUUUGAUGUAUUAUUUGUGUCAGUGGAGUGAGAUUUGUGGGCGUGGGAGCGAUAUAUUCGAGCGAGGUUCUGUCGAUCAGAGACGAGGUCUGCACUCUAGCUGAUGACAUCAUCACUCUAAACUCUCCAAUACACACCCAUUAUAAAGCUUGAAAUUUGCUGAAAACCACAAGUUGCAUAAAGCUAAAUUGUGGAAAAACUGUAAGAGAUAUCAAAAAUCUGAGUACAACUAUAAUAGUCGACAAGUGAAUGAACAUUUUAAAGCAAAAAUGAGGUCUCUAGGUGAAAGUAUGCUGAAGUUAUAAGGUCUAGAAGGUGGAAGAAUGAAAGGAAGAAGUUGAAGAUUUCCCCAUUGACUUCAAUGUUAAAAUUUUUGCACAAAAAGUUAAAAAAAACAAAAAGUAUAAAGGGUAGAAAGAAAAAAAAUACACGCCAUCAUGUCCUGAAGGAGUGGAAUAGUUUAAAGUUUGAACGGUUGAAAUCGGACAAAGUUUGAAGGAGGAGAAGCGGUCCAAAAAAGGGACGGAAGAAUAAUAAUAACUAGAAAAAUUGCAUUUCCUUGCAGAAAAUGCGUGGAAAUGCUGAGUGCUGAAAGCUGAAAAAGCAAUGCUAAACUGCUAAUAAAACAUGGAGAAAGGUAUAAAUGUUAAAGCUGUUGAAGGGGUGAAAAAGAAGUAUAGUAAGUAAGGACAAAUAGUAUGAAUAUGCUCUAUAAAAGGAAAUUUUAUUCAUGCUGAAAGAGGCUAGAAAAAUGUCGAAAAUUGCACAAAGUUCGAUUGAAGAAGGAAAUUGCCUUAAAAGGCAGGAAGGUGAGAAGUGGCAUAAGUUUAAGUUGUAGUACUAGAAGUAGUAUGAUAAGAAGUCAAGUCGUGAUACUAGUAGUCAUGUCAGCAGUAGAAGUAGUUUGAGAAUAAAAGAAGUAUAGCAAUAGCAGUUGAAGUAGAGAAAGUAGAAAUAGGAGCAAUAGCAGUUGAAGUAGAGGGGAAAGUCGUACUUGAGGUAGGAUUUUGUUUGAAGGAUGGAGUAAUGCAUGAAUAUUAAAACUAAUUUAAAACAUGGAAAAUUUAAAUACUUAAAAAUCCUCAAGAAUCAGUUUGAAUGAGUUUAAAUUAGUUUGAAAAAUUUAAUGAUAAAUCAUCAAUGAGUGACUUAUAAAAGUGAAAAAUGUAAAUGAAUAUAAAUCCUGAAUACACCCCAUAAUGUCCUCAAUGAGCUUAAAUUUUAAAGCCCUGAAUGGUUUCUGUAGGUCAAAGGUCAUGUGAGGAGAUAGGGGCUUAGGUUUUUUCAAGCGCUCUAGGAAAGGGUUUUAAGUGUCAUCCCCAGUGCUAUGUGUACUGAGCCUGGCUUCAUGUGUCUCAUUUGGCCAUUAGAAGCAGCUUUCCAGUCAGCUGUGUGUCUCCAGGUGCACAAAUUGGUUGCCAUGGGGACCUUGGAUGCAUAACUAUAGCAGGAGAAAGAAGGCUUGAAGCUAAGGAAACAGGACUCCAAGUAGGCCCUGACGCUCAUCCUCUGUAUAUAUUCAUGAUAAGGAGCUUGUGAGAACACAAGACUCUGCUGAACACAUUAAUACAAUUUAUUAUCACAAUCCUUAAAACACCCCAUAAUAUCUUCAAUGAGCUGAAUUUUUGAAGCCCAGAAUGGUUUCUGUAGCUCAAAGUUUGUGGGUGGAGAUAGGUGGUGAAGCAGACACAUAUUAACUGUGUGUACAAGCAGGUGAACUGCAAGGUAGACCUGACAAUGCAACAAGUACAAGAAUGUGUGUGUGUGUGUGUGUGUGUGUGUGUGUGUGUGUGUGUGUCUCGUUAAUGAUUGCAUCCUAAACAGCUGUGAGAUCAAAGGCAAAUCACUGACCUACUGUUUGAAUGAGAAGUGCUGAACUGCUGAGGAUUUAUAGCCUCUGAACUUCUUCACAUAGCGUGAUUUCCUUAAGUCCCAGAAUGAAAAUAAGAACAUCGUACGAAUCCUCCGCCUUCAUGAACACAAUGAUGUGUUUUUCAUGUCUGUACUCCGAAAAAUGUGGCCACAACAGCGAGUUAAAAAAGUCUGAGCCUGAGUGGGGAUAAGGAUUUUCUUGGAGAAGAAAUACAUUAGGUCUAAUGGGGAGAGAUUUCCGCCUAUUUGGACAGUUGGUCACCUGCUGGCCAAGGGGUACGAUUUAAUGAUUUGAAACCUCUUUUGUGAGAAGCAGGACACAUAUACCUCCAUUUUGAUGUAUUUUUUAUGGCUGUGGAGUGAGAUUUGUGGGCGUGGGAGCGAUAUAUUCGAGCGAGGUUCUGUCGAUCAGAGACGAGGUCUGCACUCUAGCUUUUCAAAUCAUCACUCUAGCCUCUCCAAUACACCCCCAUUAUAAAGCCUGAAAUUUGCUGAAAACCACAAGUUGCUUAAAGCUAAAUUGUGGAAAACUGUAAAAGAUAGCACAAAAAAGUUAAUACAACAUCAAUAGUCGACAAGACAAUGAACAUUUUAAAGCAAAAAUGAGGUCUCUAGGUGAAAGUAUGCUGAAGUUAUAAGGCUUAGAAGGUGGAAGAAAAAAGGAAGAAUUGAAGAUUUCCCCAUUCAUUUCUAUGGGAAAAAAAGUUUGAGACAAAAAGUGAAAAAUAAUAAAAAGUAUAAAGGGUAGAAAAGAGAAAAGUAAUAGCCAUCAUGUCCCGAUGGAGUGUAAUAGUUUAAAGUUUGAACGGUUGAAAUCGGACAAAGUUUGAAGGAGGAGAAGCGGUCCAAAGAAACGUAUGGGGAGAGUGUUAAGUAUAAUACUAGAAAAAUUGCAUUUCCUUGCAGAAAAUGCGUGGAAAUGCUGAGUGCUGAAAGCUGAAAAAGCAAUGCUAAACUGCUAAUAAAACAUGGAGAAAGGCAUAAAUGUUAAAGCUGUUGAAGGGGUGAAAAAGAAAUAUAAGUUGGAUAAUAGUUUAAUUGGUUGAAGGACAAAUAGUAUGAAUAUGCUCUAUAAAAGGAAAUUUUAUUCAUGCUGAAAGAGGCUAGAAAAAUGUCUAAAAUUGCACAAAGUUUGAAUGAAGAAGGAAACUGCCUUUAAAAGGCAGGAAGGUGAGAAGUGGCAUAAGUUUAAGUUGUAGUACUAGAAGAAGUAUGAUAAGAAGUCAAGUCGUGAUACUAGUAGUCAUGUCAGCAGUAGAAGUAGAUUGAGAAUAAAAGAAGUAUAAGUCAAAGUAGUAAAGAAAGUAGAAAUAGUAGCAAUAGCAGCAGUAGAGAAAGUAGAAAUAGGAGCAAUAGCAGUUGAAGUAGAGGGGAAAGUUCUAGUUUAAUUGACAUAAGUAGUUGUAGUACUAGAGGUAGGAUUUUGUUUGAAGGACGGAAUAAUGCAUAAAUAUUAAAACUAAUAUAAAACAGGGAAAAUUUUAUUAAUUAAAAAUCCUCAAGUAUCAGACAGUUUUUAAGUAUUAGAAAGGUUUGAAUCAUUUUGAAUGAGUUUAAAUUAGUUUGAAAAAUUAAAUGAUAAAUAAUCACUGAGUGACUUUAAAAUGUGAAACAUUUAAAUGAAUAUAAAUCCUAAAUACACCCCAUAAUGUCCUCAAUGAGCUUAAAUUUUAAAGCCCUGAAUGGUUUCUGUAGGUCAAAGGUCAUGUGAGGAGAUAGGGGCUGAAGGUUUUUCAAGCGCUCUAGGAAAGGGUUUUAAGUGUCAUCCCCAGUGCUAUGUGUACUGAGCCUGGCUUCAUGUGUCUCAUAUGGCCAUUAGAAGCAGCUUUCCAGUCAGCUGUGUGUCUCCAGGUGCACAAAUUGGUUGCCAUGGGGACCUUGGAUGAAUAACUAUAGCAGGAGAAAGAAGGCUUGAAGCUAAGGAAACAGGACUCCAAGUAGGCCCUGACGCUCAUCCUCUGUAUAAAUUCAUAAGGAGCUUGUGAGAACACAAGAUUUUGCUGAACACAUUAAUACAAUUUAUUAUCACAAUCCUCAAAACACCCCAUAAUAUCUUCAAUGAGCUGAAUUUUUCAAGCCCAGAAUGGUUUCUGUAGCUCAAAGUUUGUGGGUGGAGAUAGGUGGUGAAGCAGACACAUAUUAUCUGUGUGUACAAGCAGGUGAACUGCAAGGUAGACCUGACAAAGCAACAAGUACAAGAAUGUGUGUGUGUGUGUGUGUGUGUCUCAUUAAUGACUGCAUCCCUAACAGCUGUGAGAUCAAAGGCAAAUCACUGACCUACUGUUUGAAUGACAAGCAGCUGAACAGCAGAGGAUUAGAAGCCUGUGAACUUCUUCACAUAGCGUGAUUUCCUUAAGUCCCAGAAUGAAAAUAAGAACAUCGUACGAAUCCUCCGUCCUUCAUGAACACAAUGAUGUGUUUUUCAUGUCUGUACUCCGAAAAAUGUGGCCACAACAGCGAGUUAAAAAAGUCUGAGCCUGAGUGACGAUAAGGAUUUUCUUGGAGAAGAAAUACAUUAGGGCCAAUGGGGAGAUAUUUGCGCCUAUCUGGACAGUUGGUCACCUGCUGGCCAAGGGGUACGAUUUAAUGAUUUGAAACCUCUUUUGUGAGAAGCAGGACACAUAUACCUCCAUUUUGAUGUAUUAUUUGUGUCAGUGGAGUGAGAUUUGUGGGCGUGGGAGCGAUAUAUUCGAGCGAGGUUCUGUCGAUCAGAGACGAGGUCUGCACUCUAGCUGAUGACAUCAUCACUCUAAACUCUCCAAUACACACCCAUUAUAAAGCUUGAAAUUUGCUGAAAACCACAAGUUGCAUAAAGCUAAAUUGUGGAAAAACUGUAAAAGAUAUCAAAAAACUGAGUACAACUAUAAUAGUCGACAAGUGAAUGAACAUUUUAAAGCAAAAAUGAGGUCUCUAGGUGAAAGUAUGCUGAAGUUAUAAGGUCUAGAAGGUGGAAGAAUAAAAGGAAGAAUUGGAAGAUUUCCCCAUUGACUUCAAUGUUAAAAUUUUUGCACAAAAAGUUAAAAAAAACAAAAAGUAUAAAGGGUAGAAAGAAAAAAAAUACACGCAAUAAUGUCCUGAAGGAGUGGAAUAGUUUAAAGUUUGAAUGGUUGAAAUCGGACAAAGUUUGAAGGAGGAGAAGCGGUCCAAAAAAGGGACGGAAGAAUAAUAAUAAUAAGUUUAAUAAAGAAACGGGAGAAUAACAAUAAGUGGAAAUGCCUAUCAGCAUUUCCACUUAAUAAUAAUAAUAAUAAUAAAGAAACGGGAGAAUAACAAUAAGUGGAAAUGCUUAAUCAGCAUUUCCACUUAACUAGAAAAAUUGCAUUUCCUUGCAGAAAAUGCGUGGAAAUGCUGAGUGCUGAAAGCUGAAAAAGCAAUGCUAAACUGCUAAUAAAACAUGGAGAAAGGUAUAAAUGUUAAAGCUGUUGAAGGGGUGAACAGAAAUAUAAGUUGGAUAAUUGAUUAAUUGGUUGAAGGACAAAUAGUAUGAAUAUGCUCUAUAAAAGGAAAUUUUAUUCAUGCUGAAAGAGGCUAGAAAAAUGUCUCAAAUUGCACAAAGUUUGAAUGAAGAAGGAAAUUGCCUUAAAAGGCAGGAAGGUGAGAAGUGGCAUAAGUUUAAAUUGUAGUACUAGAAGUAGUAUGAUAAGAAGUCAAGUAGUGAUACUAGUAGUCAUGUCAGCAGUAGAAGUAGAUUGAGAAUAAAAGAAGUAUAAGUCAAAGUAGUAAAGAAAGUAGAAAUAGGAGCAAUAGCAGUUGAAGGAGAGGGGAAAGUUCUAGUUUAAUUGACAUUAGCAGUAGUUGUUGUACUUGAGGUAGGAUUUUGUUUGAAUGAUGGAGUAAUGCAUAAAUAUUAAAACUAAUUUAAAACAGGGAAAUUUUAAAUUAUCAAAAGUCCUCAAGUAUCAGAAAGUUUUGAAGUAUUAGAAAGGUUUGAAUCAGUUUGAAUGAGUUUAAAUUAGUUUGAAAAAUUAAAUGAUAAAUCAUCACUGACUGAGUUUUAAAAUGUGAAAAAUUUAAAUGAAUAUAAAUCCUAAAUGCACCCAAUAAUGUCCUCAAUGAGCUUAAAUUUCAAAGCCCUGAAUGGUUUCUGUAGGUCAAAGGUCAUGUGAGGAGAUAGGGGCUGAAGUUUUUUCCAACGCUCUAGGAAAGGGUUUUAAGUGUCAUCCCCAGUGCUAUGUGUACUGAGCCUGGCUUCAUGUGUCUCAUAUGGCCAUUAGAAGCAGCUUUCCAGUCAGCUGUGUGUCUCCAGGUGCACAAAUUGGUUGCCAUGGGGACCUUGGAUGCAUAACUAUAGCAGGAGAAAGAAGGCUUGAAGCUAAAGAAACAGGACUCCAAGUAGGCCCUGACGCUCAUCCUCUGUAUAUAUUCAUAAGGAGCUUGUGAGAACACAAGACUCUGCUGAACACAUUAAUACAAUUUAUUAUCACAAUCCUCAAAACACCCCAUAAUAUCUUCAAUGAGCUGAAUUUUUGAAGCCCAGAAUGGUUUCUGUAGCUCAAAGUUUGUGGGUGGAGAUAGGUGGUGAAGCAGACACAUAUUAACUGUGUGUACAAGCAGCUGAACUGCGAGGUGGACCUCAAAAAGUAACAAGUACAAGAAUGUGUGUGCGUGUGUGUGUCGUUAAUGACUGCAUCCUAAACAGCUGUGAGAUCAAAGGCAAAUCACUAACCUACUGUUUGACUGAGAGGUGCUGAACUGCAGUGAAUUUCAGCCUGUGAACUUCUUCACAUAGCGUGAUUUCCUUAAGUCCCAGAAUGAAAAUAAGAACAUCGUACGAAUCCUCCGUCCUUCAUGAACACAAUGAUGUGUUUUUCAUGUCUGUACUUCGAAAAAUGAGGCCACAACAGCGAGUUAAAAAAGUCUGAGCUUGAGCGAUGAUCCGGAUUUUCUUGGAGAAAAAUAACAUUAGGUCAAUGGGAGAGAUUUCCGCCUUUUUGGACAGUUGGUCACCUGCUGGCCAAGGGGUACGAUUUAAUGAUUUGAAACCUCUUUUGUGAGAAGCAGGACACAUAUACCUCCAUUUUGAUGUAUUAUUUGUGUCAGUGGAGUGAGAUUUGUGGGCGUGGGAGCGAUAUAUUCGAGCGAGGUUCUGUCGAUCAGAGACGAGGUCUGCACUCUAGCUGAUGACAUCAUCACUCUAAACUCUCCAAUACACACCCAUUAUAAAGCUUGAAAUCUGCUGAAAACCACAAGUUGCUUAAAGCUAAAUUGUGGAAAAACUGUAAAAGAUAUCAAAAAACUGAGUACAACUAUAAUAGUCGACAAGUGAAUGAACAUUUUAAAGCAAAAAUGAGGUCUCUAGGUGAAAGUAUGCUGAAGUUAUAAGGUCUAGAAGGUGGAAGAAAAAAAGGAAGAAGUGGAAGAUUUCCCCAUUGACUUCAAUGUUAAAAUUUUUGCACAAAAAGUUAAAAAAAUCAAAAAGUAUAAAGGGUAGAAAAGUGAAAAGUAAUAGCACACAUGUCCUGAAGGAGUGGAAUAGUUUAAAGUUUGAAUGGUUGAAAUCGGACAAAGUUUGAAGGAGGAGAAGCGUGACAAAAAACGGCGGAAGAAUAAUAAUAAUAAGACUAGAAAAAUUGCAUUUCCUUGCAGAAAAUGCGUGGAAAUGCUGAGUGCUGAAAGCUGAAAAAGCAAUGCUAAACUGCUAAUAAAACAUGGAGAAAGGUAUAAAUGUUAAAGCUGUUGAAGGAAUGAAAAAGAAAAAUAAGUUGGAUAACUACUUAAUUGGUUGAAGGACAAAUAGUAUGAAUAUGCUCUAUAAAAGGAAAUUUUAUUCAUGCUGAAAGAGGCUAGAAAAAUGUCUAAAAUUGCACAAAGUUUGAAUGAAGAAGGAAAUUGCCUUAAAAGGCAGGAAGGUGAGAAGUGGCAUAAGUUUAAAUUGUAGUAUAAGAAGUCAAGUCGUGAUACUAGUAGUCAUGUCAGCAGUAGAAGUAGAUUGAGAAUAAAAGAAGUAUAAGUCAAAGUAGUAAAGAAAGUAGAAAUAGGAGCAAUAGCAGUUGAAGUAGAGGGGAAAGUUCUAGUUUAAUUGACAUUAGCAGUAGUUGUCGUACUUGAGGUAGGAUUUUGUUUGAAUGAUGGAGUAAUGCAUAAAUAUUAAAACUAAUUUAAAACAGGGAAAAUUUAAAUUAUCAAAAGUCCUCAAGUAUCAGAAAGUUUUGAAGUAUUAGAAAGGUUUGAAUCAGUUUGAAUGAGUUUAAAUUAGUUUGAAAAAUUAAAUGAUAAAUCAUCACUGACUGAGUUUUAAAAUGUGAAAAAUUUAAAUGAAUAACAAUCCUAAAUACACCCAAUAAUGUCCUCAAUGAGCUUAAAUUUCAAAGCCCUGAAUGGUUUCUGUAGGUCAAAGGUCAUGUGAGGAGAUAGGGGCUGAAGUUUUUUCCAACGCUCUAGGAAAGGGUUUUAAGUGUCAUCCCAAUUGCUAUGUGUACUGAGCCUGGCUUCAUGUGUCUCAUAUGGCCACUAGAAGCAGCUUUCCAGUCAGCUGUGUGUCUCCAGGUGCACAAAUUGGUUGCCAUGGGGACCUUGGAUGCAUAACUAUAGCAGGAGAAAGAAGGCUUGAAGCUAAAGAAACAGGACUCCAAGUAGGCCCUGACGCUCACCCUCUGUAUAUAUUCAUAAGGAGCUUGUGAGAACACAAGAUUUUGCUGAACACAUUAAUACAAUUUAUUAUCACAAUCCUCAAAACACCCCAUAAUAUCUUCAAUGAGCUGAAUUUUUCAAGCCCAGAAUGGUUUCUGUAGCUCAAAGUUUGUGGGUGGAGAUAGGUGGUGAAGCAGACACAUAUUAUCUGUGUGUACAAGCAGGUGAACUGCAAGGUAGACCUGACAAUGCAACAAGUACAAGAAAUGUGUGUGUGUGUGUGUCUCAUUAAUGACUGCAUCCCUAACAGCUGUGAGAUCAAAGGCAAAUCACUGACCUACUGUUUGAAUGAGAAGCAGCUGAACAGCAGAGGAUUUGAAGCCUGUGAACUUCUUCACAUAGCGUGAUUUCCUUAAGUCCCAGAAUGAAAAUAAGAACAUCGUACGAAUCCUCCGUCCUUCAUGAACACAAUGAUGUGGUUUUCAUGUAUGUACUCCGAAAAAUGUGGCCACAACAGCGAGUUAAAAAAGUCUGAGCCUGAGUGGGGAUAAGGAUUUUCUUGGAGAAGAAAUACAUUAGGUCUAAUGGGGAGAGAUUUCCGCCCAUUUGGACAGUUGGUCACCUGCUGGCCAAGGGGUAGGAUUUAAUGAUUUGAAACCUCUUUUGUGAGAAGCAGGACACAUAUACCUCCAUUUUGAUGUAUUAUUUAUGGCUCUGGAGUGAGAUUUGUGGGCGUGGGAGCGAUAUAUUCGAGCGAGGUUCUGUCGAUCAGAGACGAGGUCUGCACUCUAGCUGAUGACAUCAUCACUCUAAGCCUCUCCAAUACACACCCAUUAUAAAGCCUGAAAUUUGCUGAAAACCACAAGUUGCAUAAAGCUAAAUUGUGGAAAAACUGUAAAAGAUAGCACAAAAAGGUUAAUACAAUAUCAACAGUCGACAAGACAAUGAAUAUUUUAAAGCAAAAAUGAGGUCUCUAGGUGAAAGUAUGCUGAAGUUAUAAGGCUUAGAAGGUGGACGAAUAGCAGGAAGCAUUGAAAGAUUUCCCCAUUCAUUUCUAUGGGAAAAAAAGUUUGGCACAAAAAGUGAAAAAUAAUAAAAAGUAUAAAGGGUAGAAAAGAGAAAAGUAAUAGCCAUCAUGUCCUGAAGGAGUGGAAUAGUUUAAAGUUUGAACGGUUGAAAUCGGACAAAGUUUGAAGGAGGAGAAGCGGUCCAAAGAAACGUAUGGGGAGAGUGUUAAGUAUAAUACUAGAAAAAUUGCAUUUCCUUGCAGAAAAUGCGUGGAAAUGCUGAGUGCUGAAAGCUGAAAAAGCAGUGCUAAACUGCUAAUAAAACAUGGAGAAAGGUAUAAAUGUUAAAGCUGUUGAAGGGGUGAAAGAAAUAUAAGUUGGAUAAUUGAUUAAUUGGUUGAAGGACAAAUAGUAUGAAUAUGCUCUAUAAAAGGAAAUUUUAUUCAUGCUGAAAGAGGCUAGAAAAAUGUCGAAAAUUGCACAAAGUUUGAAUGAAGAAGGAAAUUGCCUUAAAAGGCAGGAAGGUGAGAAGUGGCAUAAGUUUAAAUUGUAGUACUAGAAGUAGUAUGAUAAGAAGUCAAGUCGUGAUACUAGUAGUCAUGUCAGCAGUAGAAGUAGAUUGAGAAUAAAAGAAGUAUAAGUCAAAGUAGUAAAGAAAGUAGAAAUAGGAGCAAUAGCAGUUGAAGUAGAGGGGAAAGUUCUAGUUUAAUUGACAUUAGCAGUAGUUGUCGUACUUGAGGUAGGAUUUUGUUUGAAUGAUGGAGUAAUGCAUAAAUAUUAAAACUAAUUUAAAACAGGGAAAUUUUAAAUUAUCAAAAGUCCUCAAGUAUCAGAAAGUUUUGAAGUAUUAGAAAGGUUUGAAUCAGUUUGAAUGAGUUUAAAUUAGUUUGAAAAAUUAAAUGAUAAAUCAUCACUGACUGACUUUUAAAAUGUGAAAAAUUUAAAUGAAUAACAAUCCUAAAUACACCCAAUAAUGUCCUCAAUGAGCUUAAAUUUCAAAGCCCUGAAUGGUUUCUGUAGGUCAAAGGUCAUGUGAGGAGAUAGGGGCUGAAGUUUUCCAACGCUCUAGGAAAGGGUUUUAAGUGUCAUCCCAAUUGCUAUGUGUACUGAGCCUGGCUUCAUGUGUCUCAUAUGGCCACUAGAAGCAGCUUUCCAGUCAGCUGUGUGUCUCCAGGUGCACAAAUUGGUUGCCAUGGGGACCUUGGAUGCAUAACUAUAGCAGGAGAAAGAAGGCUUGAAGCUAAAGAAA